GACGAACGCUGGCGGCGUGCCUAAUACAUGCAAGUUGAGCGCUGAAGGUUGGUACUUGUACCAACUGGAUGAGCAGCGAACGGGUGAGUAACGCGUGGGGAAUCUGCCUUUGAGCGGGGGACAACAUUUGGAAACGAAUGCUAAUACCGCAUAAAAACUUUAAACACAAGUUUUAAGUUUGAAAGAUGCAAUUGCAUCACUCAAAGAUGAUCCCGCGUUGUAUUAGCUAGUUGGUGAGGUAAAGGCUCACCAAGGCGAUGAUACAUAGCCGACCUGAGAGGGUGAUCGGCCACAUUGGGACUGAGACACGGCCCAAACUCCUACGGGAGGCAGCAGUAGGGAAUCUUCGGCAAUGGACGAAAGUCUGACCGAGCAACGCCGCGUGAGUGAAGAAGGUUUUCGGAUCGUAAAACUCUGUUGGUAGAGAAGAACGUUGGUGAGAGUGGAAAGCUCAUCAAGAGACGGUAACUACCCAGAAAGGGACGGCUAACUACGUG
rnacentral:rRNA from 1 species